GAUGAACGCUAGCGGCAGGCUUAAUACAUGCAAGUCGAGGGGCAGCAUGAGUGUAGCAAUACAAUUGAUGGCGACCGGCAAACGGGUGCGGAACACGUACACAACCUUCCUAUAAGUGGGGAAUAGCCCAGAGAAAUUUGGAUUAAUACCCCGUAACAUAAUGGUGUGGCAUCACAUUAUUAUUAUAGCUUCGGCGCUUAUUGAUGGGUGUGCGGCUGAUUAGAUAGUUGGCGGGGUAACGGCCCACCAAGUCUACGAUCAGUAGCUGAUGUGAGAGCAUGAUCAGCCACACGGGCACUGAGACGCGGGCCCGACUCCUACGGGAGGCAGCAGUAAGGAAUAUUGGUCAAUGGACGCAAGUCUGAACCAGCCAUGCCGCGUGAAGGAUUAAGGUCCUCUGGAUUGUAAACUUCUUUUAUCUGGGACGAAAAAAGGCUAUUCUUAGUCACUUGACGGUACCAGAUGAAUAAGCACCGGCUAACUCCGUGCCAGCCGCCGCUGUAACAC
rnacentral:rRNA from 1 species